rnacentral:lncRNA from 1 species
UUAGCCCUUUUAUAUCCACAUGUGGAUGAGGAGUUAAAGAUACAUGAGUAGCACUGAGGCAGAUGAAGAGGAAUGAGGCAGAAUGAGUGUUCCAAGAAGAGAAGACACCAUAUUUGAAAUGCCAGACAUCAGUGAGAAUGUGGGGUGUUUGAGAAACCAAGAGAAAUCCUAUGCAUUAUGAUGCUAAAAUGCAAGCUUUGAUUUUAAGUCUUUUCAGGAGAGAAAUGGAGCCAUGGAACAAAAUGAUCUCUAAGUUUACUUCUGGAUUUAAAAACUUUGUAUCUGAAGUUGUUUCAAGUGAACUCAAAAAAGAAAAAAAAAAAAAGGGCCUUGACCACUCAGUUACCCAGUCCCAAAACCUGAGUUCUACUCUUCUUCGUCCUUCAGAGAGAGAUAAAAUGAUAAAACAAAUACUACAAAAUGUUAAUGGGUGAACCUGAAUAAAUAAUAUGUAAGUUUUCUGUCUACUUAUUUA